rnacentral:rRNA from 2 species
GGGUUGUGAGGUUAAGCGACUAAGCGUACACGGUGGAUGCCCUGGCAGUCAGAGGCGAUGAAGGACGUGCUAAUCUGCGAUAAGCGCCGGUAAGGUGAUAUGAACCGUUAUAACCGGCGAUUUCCGAAUGGGGAAACCCAGUGUGACUCGUCACACUAUCAUUAACUGAAUCCAUAGGUUAAUGAGGCGAACCGGGGGAACUGAAACAUCUAAGUACCCCGAGGAAAAGAAAUCAACCGAGAUUCCCCCAGUAGCGGCGAGCGAACGGGGAGGAGCCCAGAGCCUGAAUCAGCAUGUGUGUUAGUGGAAGCGUCUGGAAAGGCGCGCGAUACAGGGUGACAGCCCCGUACACAAAAGCGCAUGUGCUGUGAGCUCGAUGAGUAGGGCGGGACACGUGGUAUCCUGUCUGAAUAUGGGGGGACCAUCCUCCAAGGCUAAAUACUCCUGACUGACCGAUAGUGAACCAGUACCGUGAGGGAAAGGCGAAAAGAACCCCGGCGAGGGGAGUGAAAAAGAACCUGAAACCGUGUACGUACAAGCAGUGGGAGCACAGGUUUACCUGUGUGACUGCGUACCUUUUGUAUAAUGGGUCAGCGACUUAUAUUCUGUAGCAAGGUUAACCGAAUAGGGGAGCCGGAGGGAAACCGAGUCUUAAUUGGGCGUUAAGUUGCAGGGUAUAGACCCGAAACCCGGUGAUCUAGCCAUGGGCAGGUUGAAGGUUGGGUAACACUAACUGGAGGACCGAACCGACUAAUGUUGAAAAAUUAGCGGAUGACCUGUGGCUGGGGGUGAAAGGCCAAUCAAACCGGGAGAUAGCUGGUUCUCCCCGAAAGCUAUUUAGGUAGCGCCUCGUGAACUCAUCUCCGGGGGUAGAGCACUGUUUCGGCUAGGGGGCCAUCCCGGCUUACCAACCCGAUGCAAACUGCGAAUACCGGAGAAUGUUAUCACGGGAGACACACGGCGGGUGCUAACGUCCGUCGUGAAGAGGGAAACAACCCAGACCGCCAGCUAAGGUCCCAAAGUCAUGGUUAAGUGGGAAACGAUGUGGGAAGGCCCAGACAGCCAGGAUGUUGGCUUAGAAGCAGCCAUCAUUUAAAGAAAGCGUAAUAGCUCACUGGUCGAGUCGGCCUGCGCGGAAGAUGUAACGGGGCUAAACCAUGCACCGAAGCUGCGGCAGCGAACGUAUCACUUAAAGCGAUUCAGCGGGUUACGAUUGACGGAGCGAAGCGACGUCAAAGCGUAUACAAAGUCGAGUCGGUUUAAGGAUACGUUCGUUGGGUAGGGGAGCGUUCUGUAAGCCUGCGAAGGUGGCCUGUGAGGGUUGCUGGAGGUAUCAGAAGUGCGAAUGCUGACAUAAGUAACGAUAAAGCGGGUGAAAAGCCCGCUCGCCGGAAGACCAAGGGUUCCUGUCCAACGUUAAUCGGGGCAGGGUGAGUCGACCCCUAAGGCGAGGCCGAAAGGCGUAGUCGAUGGGAAACGGGUUAAUAUUCCCGUACUUGGUGUUACUGCGAAGGGGGGACGGAGAAGGCUAUGUUGGCCGGGCGACGGUUGUCCCGGUUUAAGCGUGUAGGCUGGUUUUCCAGGCAAAUCCGGAAAAUCAAGGCUGAGGCGUGACGACGAGGCACUACGGUGCUGAAGCAACAAAUGCCCUGCUUCCAGGAAAAGCCUCUAAGCAUCAGGUAACACGAAAUCGUACCCCAAACCGACACAGGUGGUCAGGUAGAGAAUACCAAGGCGCUUGAGAGAACUCGGGUGAAGGAACUAGGCAAAAUGGUGCCGUAACUUCGGGAGAAGGCACGCUGACACGUAGGUGAAGUGAUUUACUCAUGGAGCUGAAGUCAGUCGAAGAUACCAGCUGGCUGCAACUGUUUAUUAAAAACACAGCACUGUGCAAACACGAAAGUGGACGUAUACGGUGUGACGCCUGCCCGGUGCCGGAAGGUUAAUUGAUGGGGUCAGCGCAAGCGAAGCUCCUGAUCGAAGCCCCGGUAAACGGCGGCCGUAACUAUAACGGUCCUAAGGUAGCGAAAUUCCUUGUCGGGUAAGUUCCGACCUGCACGAAUGGCGUAAUGAUGGCCAGGCUGUCUCCACCCGAGACUCAGUGAAAUUGAACUCGCUGUGAAGAUGCAGUGUACCCGCGGCAAGACGGAAAGACCCCGUGAACCUUUACUAUAGCUUGACACUGAACAUUGAGCCUUGAUGUGUAGGAUAGGUGGGAGGCUUUGAAGUGUGGACGCCAGUCUGCAUGGAGCCGACCUUGAAAUACCACCCUUUAAUGUUUGAUGUUCUAACGUGGACCCGUAAUCCGGGUUGCGGACAGUGUCUGGUGGGUAGUUUGACUGGGGCGGUCUCCUCCUAAAGAGUAACGGAGGAGCACGAAGGUUGGCUAAUCCUGGUCGGACAUCAGGAGGUUAGUGCAAUGGCAUAAGCCAGCUUGACUGCGAGCGUGACGGCGCGAGCAGGUGCGAAAGCAGGUCAUAGUGAUCCGGUGGUUCUGAAUGGAAGGGCCAUCGCUCAACGGAUAAAAGGUACUCCGGGGAUAACAGGCUGAUACCGCCCAAGAGUUCAUAUCGACGGCGGUGUUUGGCACCUCGAUGUCGGCUCAUCACAUCCUGGGGCUGAAGUAGGUCCCAAGGGUAUGGCUGUUCGCCAUUUAAAGUGGUACGCGAGCUGGGUUUAGAACGUCGUGAGACAGUUCGGUCCCUAUCUGCCGUGGGCGCUGGAGAACUGAGGGGGGCUGCUCCUAGUACGAGAGGACCGGAGUGGACGCAUCACUGGUGUUCGGGUUGUCAUGCCAAUGGCACUGCCCGGUAGCUAAAUGCGGAAGAGAUAAGUGCUGAAAGCAUCUAAGCACGAAACUUGCCCCGAGAUGAGUUCUCCCUGAGACUUUAGGUCUCCUGAAGGAACGUUGAAGACGACGACGUUGAUAGGCCGGGUGUGUAAGCGCAGCGAUGCGUUGAGCUAACCGGUACUAAUGAACCGUGAGGCUUAACCUUACAACGCCGAAG